rnacentral:rRNA from 4 species
AAAUUGAAGAGUUUGAUCAUGGCUCAGAUUGAACGCUGGCGGCAGGCCUAACACAUGCAAGUCGAACGGUAACAGGAAGCAGCUUGCUGCUUUGCUGACGAGUGGCGGACGGGUGAGUAAUGUCUGGGAAACUGCCUGAUGGAGGGGGAUAACUACUGGAAACGGUAGCUAAUACCGCAUAAUGUCGCAAGACCAAAGAGGGGGACCUUCGGGCCUCUUGCCAUCGGAUGUGCCCAGAUGGGAUUAGCUAGUAGGUGGGGUAACGGCUCACCUAGGCGACGAUCCCUAGCUGGUCUGAGAGGAUGACCAGCCACACUGGAACUGAGACACGGUCCAGACUCCUACGGGAGGCAGCAGUGGGGAAUAUUGCACAAUGGGCGCAAGCCUGAUGCAGCCAUGCCGCGUGUAUGAAGAAGGCCUUCGGGUUGUAAAGUACUUUCAGCGGGGAGGAAGGGAGUAAAGUUAAUACCUUUGCUCAUUGACGUUACCCGCAGAAGAAGCACCGGCUAACUCCGUGCCAGCAGCCGCGGUAAUACGGAGGGUGCAAGCGUUAAUCGGAAUUACUGGGCGUAAAGCGCACGCAGGCGGUUUGUUAAGUCAGAUGUGAAAUCCCCGGGCUCAACCUGGGAACUGCAUCUGAUACUGGCAAGCUUGAGUCUCGUAGAGGGGGGUAGAAUUCCAGGUGUAGCGGUGAAAUGCGUAGAGAUCUGGAGGAAUACCGGUGGCGAAGGCGGCCCCCUGGACGAAGACUGACGCUCAGGUGCGAAAGCGUGGGGAGCAAACAGGAUUAGAUACCCUGGUAGUCCACGCCGUAAACGAUGUCGACUUGGAGGUUGUGCCCUUGAGGCGUGGCUUCCGGAGCUAACGCGUUAAGUCGACCGCCUGGGGAGUACGGCCGCAAGGUUAAAACUCAAAUGAAUUGACGGGGGCCCGCACAAGCGGUGGAGCAUGUGGUUUAAUUCGAUGCAACGCGAAGAACCUUACCUGGUCUUGACAUCCACGGAAGUUUUCAGAGAUGAGAAUGUGCCUUCGGGAACCGUGAGACAGGUGCUGCAUGGCUGUCGUCAGCUCGUGUUGUGAAAUGUUGGGUUAAGUCCCGCAACGAGCGCAACCCUUAUCCUUUGUUGCCAGCGGUCCGGCCGGGAACUCAAAGGAGACUGCCAGUGAUAAACUGGAGGAAGGUGGGGAUGACGUCAAGUCAUCAUGGCCCUUACGACCAGGGCUACACACGUGCUACAAUGGCGCAUACAAAGAGAAGCGACCUCGCGAGAGCAAGCGGACCUCAUAAAGUGCGUCGUAGUCCGGAUUGGAGUCUGCAACUCGACUCCAUGAAGUCGGAAUCGCUAGUAAUCGUGGAUCAGAAUGCCACGGUGAAUACGUUCCCGGGCCUUGUACACACCGCCCGUCACACCAUGGGAGUGGGUUGCAAAAGAAGUAGGUAGCUUAACCUUCGGGAGGGCGCUUACCACUUUGUGAUUCAUGACUGGGGUGAAGUCGUAACAAGGUAACCGUAGGGGAACCUGCGGUUGGAUCACCUCCUUA